UACGUAGGGUGCAAGCGUUGUCCGGAAUUAUUGGGCGUAAAGAGCUCGUAGGCGGUUUGUCGCGUCUGCUGUGAAAACCCGAGGCUCAACCUCGGGCCUGCAGUGGGUACGGGCAGACUAGAGGUAGGCAGGGGGAGAGCGGAACUCCUGGUGUAGCGGUGAAAUGCGCAGAUAUCAGGAGGAACACCGGUGGGCGAAGGCGGGUCUCUGGGCAGUAACUGACGCUGGAGGAGCGAAAGCGUGGGGAGCGAACAGG
rnacentral:rRNA from 1 species